UACGGAGGGGGCUAGCGUUGUUCGGAAUUACUGGGCGUAAAGCGUGCGCAGGCGGUUUUGUAAGCCAGAUGUGAAAUCCCCGGGCUUAACCUGGGAAUGGCAUUUGGGACUGCAAGGCUUGAGUGCGGCAGAGGAGACUGGAAUUCCUGGUGUAGCAGUGGAAAUGCGUAGAUAUCAGGAGGAACACCGAUGCGAAGGCAGGUCUCUGGGCUGACACUGACGCUCAUGCACGAAAGCGUGGGGAGCAAACAGG
rnacentral:rRNA from 1 species